rnacentral:tRNA from 1 species
CAUCCGAUGACUGAAAGUAAGUAUAGAUCUUUUAAAUCUAUUAUAGUAAUUUACGUUUACUUCUGAUGA